rnacentral:rRNA from 1 species
UGGGGAAUAUUGGACAAUGGGCGAAAGCCUGAUCCAGCAAUGCCGCGUGAGUGAAGAAGGCCUUCGGGUUGUAAAGCUCUUUUACCCGGGAAGAUAAUGACUGUACCGGGAGAAUAAGCCCCGGCUAACUCCGUGCCAGCAGCCGCGGUAAUACGGAGGGGGCUAGCGUUGUUCGGAAUUACUGGGCGUAAAGCGUACGUAGGCGGCUUUUUAAGUCAGAGGUGAAAUCCCGGGGCUCAACUCCGGAACUGCCUUUGAGACUGGAUCGCUUGAACGUCGGAGAGGUGAGUGGAAUUCCGAGUGUAGAGGUGAAAUUCGUAGAUAUUCGGAAGAACACCAGUGGCGAAGGCGGCUCACUGGACGACUGUUGACGCUGAGGUACGAAAGCGUGGGGAGCAAACAG